rnacentral:rRNA from 1 species
ACCCGCUGAAUUUAAGCAUAUAAGUAAGCGGAGGAUAAGAAACUAAAUAGGAUUCCCUCAGUAAUGGCGAAUGAACAGGGAUCAGCUCAGCAUGGAAAUUGGGGCCUCUGGCCUUGAAUUGUAGUCUUGAGAUGGCAUCGCCAGCGGAGGCGCAGAUGUAAGCCUCUUGGAAAAGAGCAUCAAUGAGGGUGAGAGUCCCGUUUGUCAUCUGCAGUCCCCCGUGCACGGCUUGCUUUCUAAGAGUCACGUUCCUUGGGAUUGGAGCGCAAAUUGGGUGGUAAAUUUCAUCUAAAGCUAAAUAUUGGUUCGAGACCGAUAGCAAACAAGUACCAUGAGGGAAAGGUGAAAAGGACUUUGAAAAGAGAGUUAAAAGUGCCUGAAAUUGCUGAAAGGGAAGCGAAUGGAACCAGUUUUUCUUGGCGAGAUUGUUGCGUGCUAAUGUGAUGGCUUGUUGCUUCAACGCAAGUGUUGCAGCGGGUUUUGAUCUGGACGUGCGCGGUGCUUCUUGCCUUGGGUGUCAACGUCGGUUCAGACUUGAGGAAAACUCCAGGGACAUGGUAAGUCACUUCUGGGUGACUGAAAGUGCUUGGCAGAACUCAUUUCUGAACUGAAUUCCGCAUGUCUGGUCGCAGUGCUUUCACUUCCCGUGCUUCGUUCGGAGCUCUCUGGGCUCUGCGCUGGGCUGGGACGUGGGGCAUCUCCCUGACAUCAGUACGAUGACAAAAUGGUUUUAUUCGACCCGUCUUGAAACACGGACCAAGG